UGGAUCCAGACUUUGAUCCUGGCUCAGGAUGAACGCUAGCUACAGGCUUAACACAUGCAAGUCGAGGGGAAACGAUAUUGGAAGCUUGCUUCCGAUAGGCGUCGACCGGCGCACGGGUGAGUAACGCGUAUCCAACCUGCCCACCACUUGGGGAUAACCUUGCGAAAGUAAGACUAAUACCCAAUGACGUCUCUAGAAGACAUCUGAAAGAGAUUAAAGAUUUAUCGGUGAUGGAUGGGGAUGCGUCUGAUUAGCUUGUUGGCGGGGUAACGGCCCACCAAGGCGACGAUCAGUAGGGGUUCUGAGAGGAAGGUCCCCCACAUUGGAACUGAGACACGGUCCAAACUCCUACGGGAGGCAGCAGUGAGGAAUAUUGGUCAAUGGACGAGAGUCUGAACCAGCCAAGUAGCGUGCAGGAAGACGGCCCUAUGGGUUGUAAACUGCUUUUAUAAGGGAAUAAAGUUAGUCUCGUGAGACUUUUUGCAUGUACCUUAUGAAUAAGGACCGGCUAAUUCCGUGCCAGCAGCCGCGGUAAUACGGAAGGUCCGGGCGUUAUCCGGAUUUAUUGGGUUUAAAGGGAGCGUAGGCCGGAGAUUAAGCGUGUUGUGAAAUGUAGAUGCUCAACAUCUGAACUGCAGCGCGAACUGGUUUCCUUGAGUACGCACAAAGUGGGCGGAAUUCGUGGUGUAGCGGUGAAAUGCUUAGAUAUCACGAAGAACUCCGAUUGCGAAGGCAGCUCACUGGAGCGCAACUGACGCUGAAGCUCGAAAGUGCGGGUAUCGAACAGGAUUAGAUACCCUGGUAGUCCGCACGGUAAACGAUGGAUGCCCGCUGUUGGUCUGAAUAGGUCAGCGGCCAAGCGAAAGCAUUAAGCAUCCCACCUGGGGAGUACGCCGGCAACGGUGCAACUCAAAGGAAUUGACGGA
rnacentral:rRNA from 1 species